rnacentral:rRNA from 1 species
AACGAACGCUGGCGGCGCGCCUAAUACAUGCAAGUCGAGCGAGAAGACGUAGCAAUACGUUUGUAAAGCGGCGAACGGGUGAGGAACACAUGGGUAACCUACCCUAGAGUGGGGAAUAACUAGCCGAAAGGUUAGCUAAUACCGCGUACGCUCCUUGGACUUCGGUACAGGGAGGAAAGCGAUACCGUGGGUAUCGCGCUCUUGGAUGGGCUCAUGUCCUAUCAGCUUGUUGGUGAGGAACGGCUCACCAAGGCUUCGACGGGUAGCUGGUCUGAGAGGACGAUCAGCCACACUGGCACUGCGACACGGGCCAGACUCCUACGGGAGGCAGCAGUAAGGAAUAUUGCGCAAUGGGCGAAAGCCUGACGCAGCGACGCCGCGUGGGGGAUGAAGGUCUUCGGAUUGUAAACUUCGCAAGAACGGGAAGAAUAAGCGAGAGUUAAUAUCUUUCGUGAUGACGGUACCGUUUGU